AUCUACAGCCAUACCACCCUGAACGCGCCCGAUCUCAUCUGAUCUUAGAAGCUAAGCAGGGUCGGGCCUGGUUAGUACUUGGAUGGGAGACCACUUCUUUUUGUGUGGCACAAGUAGUCU
rnacentral:rRNA from 1 species